CCUACGGGAGGCAGCAGUGAGGAAUAUUGGUCAAUGGACGAGAGUCUGAACCAGCCAAGUAGCGUGAAGGAUGACUGCCCUAUGGGUUGUAAACUUCUUUUAUAUGGGAAUAAAAUGUUCCACGUGUGGGAUUUUGUAUGUACCAUAUGAAUACGGAUCGGCUAACUCCGUGCCAGCAGCCGCGGUAAUACGGAGGAUCCGAGCGUUAUCCGGAUUUAUUGGGUUUAAAGGGAGCGUAGGUGGAUUGUUAAGUCAGUUGUGAAAGUUUGCGGCUCAACCGUAAAAUUGCAGUUGAAACUGGCAGUCUUGAGUACAGUAGAGGUGGGCGGAAUUCGUGGUGUAGCGGUGAAAUGCUUAGAUAUCACGUAGAACUCCGAUUGCGAAGGCAGUUCACUGGACUGCAACUGACACUGAGGCUCGAAAGUGUGGGUAUCAAACAGGAUUAGAUACCCUUGUAGUC
rnacentral:rRNA from 1 species